rnacentral:lncRNA from 1 species
UAAACAUAUGUAUGAAAGUUUUUAAUUUAGAAGAAAUUUUAUGACUGAUUUUUACAUGAUUGAUCAUAUUAAGUUCGGUAAUGCCUAGUACCCUAUUCUAGGCUCGGAAUACUGGUAGGGGGUGUUACACUUCUUCUCUUCUUAAUCGCUCAGAAGCCAAUAAUUGAGCCCCUUCAUUUGCUUGUUUUGGCACAUCUGGAACCUGAUACAAAUAGUCUUAAUGUUACAGAUAUAAGCUCCUAAAAUUGACCUUUCAACUCUGUUUGCUUGCAGCUUUCGAAUGAAGGUGAAGGAAUCAUCCUUGAUUUCCACUCUCGACAAAUCCAUUUGUAGACCCAUCACAGCCGCUUGAAAGCAAACCAUAGCCUCUGUUGCAAAAGGAGAAGGUAUGUUGCCAAGCAUGGUUGUUUUCUAACAUAACACAGAACCAAAACCAUUUCUAAUAAGGAUACCCGAGCAAGAUUUGCUAUGUGUUUGCAAUUGUUGGACAAAAACAUGUUAGCGAAC